UAGAUCAGAGGGAAGUAUCUAGAUGGAUAUUCUCACACCAGGCAGGAGUGAGUUUCCACUGGAGGCUCUCCCUUGUUGGCAGCAGAGCACAACUCUGGCUGAUUGAAGCAGAAAAGGAAUUUGUUAAAGGGCCAUUGUGUAGUUCAUGGAUGGAGGCAUGUGGGGUGAGACCAGACUCACCGGCCACCUGGGCAGGAAGAAGACCAGGGCCAAGGGCUGUCAGGACUGGCCCAGAACAACUCCACACCCACGUGGCUGCACCUAUGCGCACGACAGGACCAUGCAUGCCUCCUGCCCCUGAGAUCCGCCCACUGCUGCUUCUGGAAGAGGUGUGGCAUGACGUACACAGGAAGGACAGAGCCACCAGCUUUCCCGGGGCCAGCAGGCUGCUUGGCUUGUGUUUGCUCGGUCGACUGUCUGGAGCUGGAUCUGGAUACUUCUCAAAGGGGAGGAAGGACUGCAGAUGCUGGGUGGCACAGGAGCAGAUGUCACCCCAGAGGGCAUUUCCGAUCUUGGAAGGACCUGUGUCACUGGGGACUCCUCAGACAGCAGCAGAACCCUGUCCCACCAUCUACACUGUCCCGUCUACCCUGUUGUCCCUCUGCAUCGAAGAAGUGGUUCAGCGGGGAUCUGGACAGUCAGCCCUUUGGACAUCUUCCUUGUAGAAAUUCUGCAUCUCCACUACACAUACCACACACAUCUCUACCCUCCCUCCAUGUAUCAGUGUGUACAUGUAUUUAUACAAACAUGUAGGUGACCCCGGUCCCAAGCCCCACAACUGGAGUUGCCACCUGUAGCCGGCUUGACAAUGAUGAUGAUAACAGGGGACGGAUGGACACAUGGAACGGAUGUAGCUCUAGCAGACAGAGGAGCCCAGAACCUCCGGCUCACCUCGCUUUUAUUCACCCAAACAUGGGCACAAGUAAUCAAGGUAACACACGAUUCAUCUGGUUUCCAAUAUCAUUAGUAUAUUCUCUGGUAAACAGCUUAACCUCUGCUGUCUUAACUUUUUCCCUAAUAUGCAAUCACCCCUGACUGCAGCCUUUCCCCUUUGUGCUCACAUUGGAGGUGAAUUAGGCCUCAAAUCUCCUCUGGUCUCCCUCUCUCCCUCUCUCUCUCUCUCUCUCUCUCCCUCCCUCCCUCCCUCUCUCCCUCUCCCUCCC
rnacentral:lncRNA from 1 species